rnacentral:rRNA from 1 species
AUGGCGAGCACUACCAAUGCCGCGGUGAUUUUCGGCAUCCUAGUUUUUCUGCAGGUGUCGUGCGCCUUUUCCAGGCACCCCGCGGAAGGUAAGUUCGGCCUUCGACAGAACGUCCCGGCGGUGAUGACGGUGAACGGCUUCCAGGAAGGAGAGGGGGCGGCGGGCCGGCGUCUUGCGACGGCCAGUACCAUAGCGACGAUGAGUUCGUGGUGUCGCUGUCCUCGGAGUGGUACGCAGGCGGGGCAUGGUGCGGCAGGACGAUCCGCAUCUUCGACACUUCCAAUAUCGGCAUAA